rnacentral:lncRNA from 1 species
CUGGAUCAUUCGAAACACAUGUAUAUAGGAGAUCUCCAGUUUAUCAAUCUUGCUUUGUCUUCAUAAUAGUAUUCUUUUUGUCUUGAUAGGUUCUCCUUCAAUAGUUCAAAUAAUCAUGGGGAUUUUAUAGAAAUAAACAGACAAGAAUCAUGGAGAGUGAGAUCAGAAUGGCUUUUGAAGAGUACUCACACUCAUGUGACCCAUUUAAGUACUAAACAGAUCAUGGCCAGAUAUGAAGAGGAAAUGGAUCUCAGUUUUGGUUGCCUUGGAUUUCAUUAGCCUGUCCACAUGCCCUUGCUGCUAAUUUUGCAAAAACAAAGAGCAACCCUUGCAUUCUUCUGCUCAUUGUGGCAUUAUUUCUCUUUGUGUGAGCAUCACUACAGCAUCUAGCCAAACAAUUGCUUCUAGGAUCUGGGUGGGUGCUCAGUGAAAGAGCUCAAAGCCCAUGUCAUCAUCAGAUUCUUCUGAUAGAAAAAGGUGCACCUCCCUCCAACCCCAGGAAGCCAGCUUACUGCUCACUAGCAGAUCAUGGUCCUCAAUGCUUUUACUGCUGAACUUGUGGAUGACCUUGAGAUGCUCCUCAUCUACCUCGAUUCCAAGGCUCUGUCUAGGAUCUUCUUCAGGUCCUUGGCUUUGGGGAAGUCAUUGCUGCCAAGGACAGCCAAAAGGUGUCACACACAUACAGAGAAAAUAUAUGGCAUCUCUGGGUUCAAGGUCAGAAAUUCCAGACAAAUCAUCUACUCAUCUCUGUGGUGACUGUACAGGUUCCAAAUAAGUAGCAAAGGAGUUGCCAGACAUGCUGAGGGCUUGAAAAUCCAUAGGAUUUGGAAUCCAACUAAUUGUUUGAUCACUGCUGUUAAGGUUGGGUAAGACAUACUCAUUUACUGAUUAUUUACAGUGGAGGAAAAAAUAGUGUGAGGAAAGCAGAGGAAAGGGGAAUGAUAGAGAGGAGAUGAGCUGUUAGGGAUCCAUUGCUGUCAUUCCUUUUAAAAAACUAUGGGCCUCAGAACUUGGCUUCAUGGGUACCAAAUAUGUCUAGGAUUUAAUUGUGUUGCCUAGGACAGACUAUAAAAAUACUGUGAUUACAACUUCAAGAAAACAUUACCACUAGGAUCCUUGGGACAAAAAGAAGUGCCUUUCAGGGACCUACAUAUCCAAAGAGUUGAAAUAUACUGAGGAUAUCUAAAACCAAAGUCACACUGCCCUUUCCCUAUCCUCUUACCUCAGUACUAAUUCCCAGUCCUUAUUCAUAUAUUAUCACCCAUACCUGACAACAUUAAAAGGUAGCUAGGUGGUACAGUUGCUAAAGAGUUGGGUGUGAAGUCAGGAAAAUAUGAGUUUGGAAUCUGUCUCUCAUGAUUUGACUUCUAGCUUUCUAAGCCUCAGUUUCCCCAUCUAUAAAUGGAAAUAAUAAUAGUACUGGGUUCACACAGUUGUGAGAAUUAAAUGAAAUAAUACCUGAAAGAUACUUUGCAAACCUAAAUUACAUUACCUUAAAUUACCUAAAUUACCUUAAAACACUUGCUAUUAUAAAUAAUACACAUUCAUUUACAUAAUCCCUAUGUUCUAACAUAAUUUUCUCUAUUCAUAUGUUCUAUGAUUAACUUACCUAUAUAAUAUAUCUGUUGUUACAACAACUCCAGCAAAACCUUUUGGGUGUCCAACAUGACAGAUUUUACCAUGACUAUAUAGCAAAUAAG